rnacentral:rRNA from 1 species
AGAGUUUGAUCAUGGCUCAGAUUGAACGCUGGCGGCAGGCCUAACACAUGCAAGUCGAACGGUAACAGGAAGAAGCUUGCUUCUUUGCUGACGAGUGGCGGACGGGUGAGUAAUGUCUGGGAAACUGCCUGAUGGAGGGGGAUAACUACUGGAAACGGUAGCUAAUACCGCAUAACGUCGCAAGACCAAAGAGGGGGACCUUCGGGCCUCUUGCCAUCGGAUGUGCCCAGAUGGGAUUAGCUAGUAGGUGGGGUAACGGCUCACCUAGGCGACGAUCCCUAGCUGGUCUGAGAGGAUGACCAGCACACUGGAACUGAGACACGGUCCAGACUCCUACGGGAGGCAGCAGUGGGGAAGUAUUGCACGAAUGGGCGCAAGCCUGAUGCAGCCAUGCCGCGUGUAUGAAGAAGGCCUUCGGGUUGUAAAGUACUUUCAGCGGGAGGAAGGGAGUAAAGUUAAUACCUUUGCUCAUUGACGUUACCCGCAGAAGAAGCACCGGCUAACUCCGUGCCAGCAGCCGCGGUAAUACGGAGGGUGCAAGCGUUAAUCGGAAUUACUGGGCGUAAAGCGCACGCAGGCGGUUUGUUAAGUCAGAUGUGAAAUCCCCGGGCUCAACCUGGGAACUGCAUCUGAUACUGGCAAGCUUGAGUCUCGUAGAGGGGGGUAGAAUUCCAGGUGUAGCGGUGAAAUGCGUAGAGAUCUGGAGGAAUACCGGUGGCGAAGGCGGCCCCCUGGACGAAGACUGACGCUCAGGUGCGAAAGCGUGGGGAGCAAACAGGAUUAGAUACCCUGGUAGUCCACGCCGUAAACGAUGUCGACUUGGAGGUUGUGCCCUUGAGGCGUGGCUUCCGGAGCUAACGCGUUAAGUCGACCGCCUGGGGAGUACGGCCGCAAGGUUAAAACUCAAAUGAAUUGACGGGGGCCCGCACAAGCGGUGGAGCAUGUGGUUUAAUUCGAUGCAACGCGAAGAACCUUACCUGGUCUUGACAUCCACGGAAGUUUUCAGAGAUGAGAAUGUGCCUUCGGGAACCGUGAGACAGGUGCUGCAUGGCUGUCGUCAGCUCGUGUUGUGAAAUGUUGGGUUAAGUCCCGCAACGAGCGCAACCCUUAUCCUUUGUUGCCAGCGGUCCGGCCGGGAACUCAAAGGAGACUGCCAGUGAUAAACUGGAGGAAGGUGGGAUGACGUCAAGUCAUCAUGGCCCUUACGACCAGGGCUACACACGUGCUACAAUGGCGCAUACAAAGAGAAGCGACCUCGCGAGAGCAAGCGGACCUCAAUAAAGUGCGUCGUAGUCCGGAUUGGAGUCUGCAACUCGACUCCAUGAAGUCGGAAUCGCUAGUAAUCGUGGAUCAGAAUGCCACGGUGAAUACGUUCCCGGGCCUUGUACACACCGCCCGUCACACCAUGGGAGUGGGUUGCAAAAGAAGUAGGUAGCUUAACCUUCGGGAGGGCGCUUACCACUUUGUGAUUCAUGACUGGGGUGAAGUCGUAACAAGGUAACCGUAGGGGAACCUGCGGUUGGAUCACCU